CUGGCGGCGUGCCUAACACAUGCAAGUCGAGCGAGGAGAUCCUUCGGGAUGAUCCUAGCGGCGGACGGGUGAGUAACACGUGGGCAACCUGCCUCAUAGAGAGGAAUAGCCUUCCGAAAGGGAGAUUAAUACCUCAUAACAUUGCAGUUUCGCAUGGAACAGCAAUUAAAGGAGUAAUCCGCUAUGAGAUGGGCCCGCGGCGCAUUAGCUAGUUGGUGAGGUAACGGCUCACCAAGGCGACGAUGCGUAGCCGACCUGAGAGGGUGACCGGCCACAUUGGGACUGAGACACGGCCCAGACUCCUACGGGAGGCAGCAGUGGGGAAUAUUGCACAAUGGGGGAAACCCUGAUGCCAGCAACGCCGCGUGAGUGAUGACGGCCUUCGGGUUGUAAAGCUCUGUCUUCAGGGACGAUAAUGACGGUACCUGAGGAGGAAGCCACGGCUAACUACGUGCCAGCCGCCGC
rnacentral:rRNA from 1 species